rfam:Neotoma lepida isolate 417 scaffold_149, whole genome shotgun sequence.
UAAGCCCUGCUCAGAAGUCAAGAGCAGCAGCGCCGCCGCUCCUCGCAGCCUUUCAUGCUGCAGCCGCUUCUUAUUCUUGUGUCUCGGCCUCUCUGGGCGCCCCGGGACAAAGCCCCCAGAACCCGGCCGCUCCCUUCCCGCUAAAUCCCCUUCGGGGUCAGUGCGCUACCAGCACAGGGCCGCACGCCUCUCCUGCUAGCCGUGUGGCUCUUAAAGAGCCCUACACCCCUCCGCCCCGCGUGCUCCUCCGACCCCCGCCACCCCUCCCCUCUCCUCCGGAUCUAGCCCCCCACGCCGACGCCUGAGGUCCCUGCUGCCCCGAC